UGGGUAGCCAUUUGACUAGAUGUUCAGGAGUCUUGUGGCUUGGGGGUAGACUUGGCGCUCCGAUCAAAGAGGAUAUAACUAUGUUCAGAUUUGUGUGUGUGGAGUAUAGGUGUUCCAGAGAUUUUUUUUCCUCUGGUUGCACGUUUAACAUGCUGAUAAAAAUUUGGUAAAACAGAUUUGUUUCCCUGCAUUAAAGUCCCUGGCUACUAGGAGCACCACCUCUGGAUCCAGUCAUUAAUAAAUCAAUGUAUGGAUCACCUCCAAUUGAAAGGAAAUAAACUGGAUCUCCACCGCAGCAGUUUUACCUUGGAUUGAGCAAAGAUUUCUUCAACUUUUCUGAGAACUAUUUGAAGAGGCAUGACUAAUUCCGAUCCAGAAAUGAAAGACCAAACCACAUCCUCCUUUGUCGUCUUGACUGUCUUCUUCAUCCUGGUCACCCUCGUUGUCGUCCUGGUCGUCCUGUACAUGUGGCUAAACCGCCAGACUAAUGGCCAGUACACAGUCCACCAACUGGUCCUUGGGGAGGGUGGGGCCAGGGACCGGGUGAGGGGUGGGGUCCAAGUCCUAGAGGUGUGGUUCAGGCGUCGCCUUUGGCCUCUCAGUGAGGAUGAGGAGACUGUAGGAGAGGAGGAACAGAGAGACAAAGAGGAGGAUGUAGAGAGAGUGAGUGAGGGAGGGGAAAGCAAGGGGGAGGGGAAGAAGGAGGAGGGGGAUGAGAGGGAGGGCCGAGUGGAUGACUCUUCGGAUGAGUACUCCAGUGAGGAGGACUGUGGCCUGACGGAGAGUGUGAAGGUCAUGGACGAGAAGAAGGAGAGGAGAGAGUGUGAGGGGAAGCGAGAGGAGAAUAUGGAAGAAAAUGGGGAUAGCAAAGGUGAUGAGGGAGCAGUGGGAGGAGAAGAAAGUGGACAGGGAGGUUUGCUGAUACACCUGCAUCAGUCCUCUGGUAGUGCUAUCUGGUCUGAAGAUUAUGAGGGAGGCAAAGACAACAAUCAUGUGACUGCAUUGUGAGGAAAGGAUCAGAAAGGGGAAAGAGUUCCAUUAAUACAUUUUUGUACAGUAAUAGCGCUUGACAGAACAUUGGCUACUUGUCAUCAUCACCAUCAUUGUCAUAAUUGUCAUAAUUGUAAACCUUACAAACCAGUGUUAUAACAAUCAAGGCAGAAAACAACAGAGUGUACUAAAUCAAUCCAAUCAUCAAAGUGACUGACAAGAGCAACAAUUGCAGCUUGAAUACAUGAAGCUAUAUAAAUGUAUUUUAGAUAUAAAAUAUAAUUUUUAAACGGUAUCAAAGUUUCAUGGGUUUCAAAGUUUUGGGGUUUGCACUGUUGCUAUGAGAUAAUUUGUAUUGUAAAUAUUUGUGUUCUGUAUAUUUUAUGAAUUUAAUAGCUAUUUAGAUCCUUCUUCCUGGAGAUCUACUGUCCUGUAGGUUUUCAGUCUAAUCCUAAUUUAGCAUAUCUGAUUCAGCUAGUUAAGGUAUUGUUGAGCAGCUAAUUCGUAGAAUCAGGUCUGUUAAAUUAGGGUUGGACUGAAAACCCACAGGAAGGUAGAUCUCCAGGAAGAGGGUUGUGCAGCCCUGGCCUAUGGCUUGACUUUGUGCUAUACUGUUUCAUGUCUUAUGUGCAUGAUGUUUAUUUCCAGAGUGACAAUUUUAUACUUUUUAUUAUCUGAUACAACUUAAAGGCCCAGUGCAGUCAAAAUUAUGUUUUGUCUCAUGUUGUACAGCAACUCAUGGAACAAACACUGUAAAAGUGUGAAAAGAUUUGAUCAGUGUUAUUCCUGAUAGUUGCUGGUGGAAAAUACAAUCUACACAGGGCCUUUACAUUUUUAUUUUUGAUGAGAGACUGUUACAGAGGAGUGUAAAUGUUUUUUAAGGCUGGAACAUGUUGUUGAAUCGUAUUGUUGUAUGUUGUAAUUCUGUAAUGUAUUGAUUGUUGUUGCCUUUUUGGCCAGGUCUCCAUUGAAAAAGAGGGUCUUAAUGUGCUUUUCCUGGUUAAAUGAAGGUUAAGAACAUUUUUUUAAAUCAGCAGGUUUGCAUGGCAUUCCCCUCCCACUCAGACCACUUCCUGACAGUCCUAGCAAAAUUCUUGCCUGAGAAUUUUUUGUUGUUGCAAAAAGGCUAUUGUUGUCCAUUUUAAUGAAAAACUAUUAUAGUAAGGUUCUUAAUUGUUACCCAGAAGUAAUUUGAUAUUGAUAUAAAAACGGUUGCAUGAGGCUUUUAAGUGUUUGCGCUGAUGUGAUUAUAUUGUCUGUUUCCUUUUCUUAAAACUGCAUUGUUGGUUAAGGGCUUGUAAGCAAGCAAUUCACUGUUGUAUUCGGCGCAUGUGAUAAAUAAUAUUUGAUUUGAUUUAAUUUGAUUGAUAGUUUUUUGUUGAAAUAAAAAAAAUAUUUUCUAAAUGAU
ensembl:lncRNA